CCUACGGGUGGCAGCAGUGGGGGAUAUUGCACAAUGGGCGAAACCCUGAUGCAGCGACGCCGCGUGUGGGAAGACGGUUUUCUGGAUUGUAAACCACUGUCCCCAGGGACGAAAAUGUCGGUACCUGGGGAGGAAACUCCGGCGUACUACGUGCCAGCAGCCGCGGUAAUACGUAGGGAGCAAGCGUUGUCCGGAAUUACUGGGUGUAAAGGGAGCGUAGGCGGUGAUGCAAGUUGGGGGCAAAAACUACCGGCUCAACCGAGAGUCGCAGUCAAAACUGCAGCUCGUGAGUGAAGGAGAGGCAGGCGGAAUGCCUGGUGUAGCGGUGAAAUGCGUAGAUAUUGGGAAGAACACCAGUGGCGAAGGCGGCCUGCUGGGCUUUUACUGACGCUGAGGCUCGAAAGUGUGGGGAGCAAACAGGAUUAGAUACCCCUGUAGUC
rnacentral:rRNA from 1 species